rnacentral:rRNA from 1 species
UACGGGGGCGGCAAGCGUUGUUCGGAAUUACUGGGCGUAAAGGGCUCGUAGGUGGCCAACUAAGUCAGACGUGAAAUCCCUCAGCUUAACUGGGGAACUGCGUCUGAUACUGGAUGGCUUGAGUUUGGGAGAGGGAUGCGGAAUUCCAGGUGUAGCGGUGAAAUGCGUAGAUAUCUGGAGGAACACCGGUGGCGAAGGCGGCAUCCUGGACCAACACUGACACUGAGGAGCGAAAGCCAGGGGACCAAACGGG